rnacentral:rRNA from 1 species
GACGUAGGGUGCAAGCGUUGUCCGGAUUUAUUGGGCGUAAAGAGCUCGUAGGCGGCUUGUUGCGUCGACUGUGAAAACCCGCGGCUUAACCGCGGGCUUGCAGUUGAUACGGGCAGGCUAGAGUUCGGUAGGGGAGACUGGAAUUCCUGGUGUAGCGGUGAAAUGCGCAGAUAUCGGGAGGAACACCGGUGGCGAAGGCGGUUCUCUGGGCCUUACCUGACGCUGAGGAGCGAAAGCGUGGGGAGCGAACAGG